ACACCAUCAUGGCGGCGGCCAUAUCAAGGAAGAAAACAAAUGCCAUGUUUUGUUUACGUUACGUAUUUUCAAUUAGUUUCUUGCUGGCAAUAAGUCUGCAUGGGGGAUAUUGUGAUCAAACACCACAAGACUGUGUUUUUGGUGGCUCAGACUUCUCUUUGAUCAAGCAGUUUAAUCCCUGGCCAAUGUUAUCCGAGGAUGGGAACACAACCUAUCAGAUCAGUCUUUGUGAGGCAAUCAAACCGCAUCAAGGUGGAGAUUGUCACGACCAGACUUCUAUCUGUAGGACAGUCAAGGGGGAAUCGCCAAAGUCUUCGGGCAACUUUACACACAUGGCAGCUGCUGAUAACACUCAAGUCUCUGAACAAACACUUGUCUUUCAAGGGGAUGCAUGUCCUGAUGUAGUCGAUGGCCAUUAUGUUACAAUGAUCACCUUCCAGUGCAGUUUAAAUGUGGGCCUAGGUUCACCUGAAUUCCUGGUGUACUCGCUGUGUACAACGUAUGUGCUGUGGCGCACAAAUGUGGUUUGUAACGACACCGAGCGGGCUGUGAAGGAGGUCCCUUGUUAUGUGUAUGACCAUCUCAACCAGAAACACAACCUUGCACCGCUCACAAAGAAAGACGGUGGCUACCUGGUGUCGUCCGAGGCAGGCUGGAACUUUUAUAUCAAUGUGUGUAAAGACAUUAAAGGAAUUACAGAAAUUCCUGGCGGAGACCCAGAUGAAAAGACAAAGAUGUGCCCACCAGGGGCUGGUGCCUGUCAGAUCAAUACACGUGGUUCAGGAACAGCAUUAGGGAUGGGAGACCCUAAAGACAAGCUUCAGGUUGCCACUGGAGAAAACAAAUUCCUGUUACGCUACACUACUGAUGAGACUGUUAAUGGCUGUACUGCGAAACCUUCCACCAGUAUAGAGUUCCGGUGUCCCAGUGUGGGUGGGGGGAAAGAUCCUGUCAUGGUGGCUGAUUUCAACUGUCAGUUCCGCAUCGUGUGGGAAACGGAACAUGCUUGUGCGGAAGUUGACAUCACAAACAAAACUUGUCGUCUUGUCAAGGAAUCUGAAAACAUUGACAUAGAUCUUUCACCUCUCAGGGUUUACCGUGCAGACCGUAAAUACCAGGUAACAGUGCCCCCUAGCACUAAAGGUGGCGACUACUACAUAUACUACCUCAACGUAUGUGGGGAGCUGGGAAUCCAGUGUCCGGACAUGAACCACGUCCAAAACGUGGCAGCGUGUCAGACCAAGUCUGGUGACUCGGAUUACGGCCGUGUCAUUGGGUCAGUUGGCAAUGGUGACCAGAGACUAAGGUACGCUGAUGGAGAUCUUACCUUGACCUACCGAGGAGGCGAUAUUUGCCACAAGAACAAUCCACGAACAACUAUUAUCAACUUUAAAUGUGACCCCAAUACAGCUGUUAACAUGGGUAAAGGUUACCCAACAUUUGUGAAGGAGGUCAACGACAGCUGUAUCUACAUGUUUGAUUGGGCUACCAAGUACGCAUGUUCGGGUCAUCCAGCUAAUGAAGAGUGUCGAGUUGACUACAAUGGCAAACGCUACGACCUUUCACCCCUUACACGACGCCAUGGACACGAAACUGAUUGGGAGGUGUUACACAGUGACGGGACAGACGCUGGGAAACAAUUCUACCUUAAUGUGUGUAACGACUUACUGAACACAGGCGGUGCUGCUAGCUGUCACCCGGACGCUUCCGUCUGUCUUAUAGAUCAUAAUGGCCCCCAUAAUCUGGGUUCAUUCAUCGAGAAUCCUGUAUUCUCCAAGGAGACAAAUGCCCUACAAAUCACCUACGGUAACGGGGAACCAUGUGGGGACAAGAAACGCACACGCUCCAUUAUAGACUUCAUCUGUAAGCCAGGAGACCUGGAGAGUGGCCCUGUUCUCAUGGAUACCUCUCUUGACAGCUGUCUGUACAGGUUUGAGUGGCAUACCUCCGCUGCAUGUGUACUGGGACAUUGGAGGGGAGACAACUGUCAUGUAUUUGACAAGGAAGCAGGAUUCAACUUUGACCUUUCACCUCUGACCUUGAAGGAAGGAUCAUAUUCUGUCACGGAUACAAACAAGACUUAUGAAUAUCAUAUCAAUGUGUGUGAUGCUGUCCAUAACACUUCGUGUGACACAAGUAAAAGUACUCCUCCGAAUGCCGGAGUUUGUCAGACAAAGAGCGGUGACCAUGCAAUCAAUACAGGAACUGCUUCCAGCAUUCUGGAGUACUACGAUGGUAUGAUAAACCUAACAUACACAAAUGGACAGGUGUACAACAGCCAUCCUCCAGUUCCACGGAAGACAGAGAUUGUGUUCCUAUGUGACACAAGUGCUGGCAAAGGCAAGCCCUCGUUUAUUUCAGAGAGUUCCUGGGGAUACAGUUUUGAGUGGUACACAGCCUAUGCUUGUCCGAAUGAGCCAGUCGAAUGUACGGUCACAGACCCAGCACGCAAGCAACAGUAUGAUCUGUCUAGCUUAUCCAAGUCAGUGAGUCAGGACAACUGGGAGUUAUUGGACGACAGUGACCCCAAAAACAAGCUCAAGUACUACAUCAAUGUGUGUCGUCCACUCAGCGAGGUACACGUAGGCAAGGGCUGCUCAACCUUUGGGUCAGCAUGUCGCACAUCCUACAAAACUGGACAGGAGGCUGUGGACAUAGCAGAUUUAGGAAGUGUGGUGUCGCCACCGGUCGUGGAGAGGGAGGGUCAGCUGUCACUCAAAUACCGUACCAAAGACAAGAUCUGUGACGACAUUAAUGGCAAUGGCAAGACGACUAUCACCACAUCCAUACAUUUCAUCUGUAGUCGAGGCGCUAUGGUGACUGGGCCAAGCACUGUGACAAAGUUAGGUAACUGUGAUUAUGUAUACAUGUGGGCCACAGAGGCUGCCUGUCCUCUAGAGAUGACAGAAGCAACCACCAACUGUUCUGUCAAGGACCGUAACUCUGAUUAUGUCUUCAACCUUGGCCUCCUCACCAGAAAGAGUGAUACUGACUACUAUGACGUCAAGGACGGAGCCUAUCAAUUCAGAAUCAACAUCUGCGGAGUCAUGUCACCGACUCAUUGUCCUCAUGUGGAGGGUAAGGCUAUGUCCUUAUGUCGUCUGCUCCCCAACUCCUCCACCGAGGGCCUCAGCUUCCUCAAAUACACCCUCGACUAUGAUGACGAUGGCAAACUGAUGCUGAAAUAUGAAGGCAAACGACUGGACAGUGGGAUAAGGAUAGAGGUCAGGGUUCUGUUCCUCUGCCGACAAAAUGUGGAUAUUGGUGAGCCUAAGUUUGACCGAGUGGACGAGGGAUACAAGUACAUAUUUACAUUUGAGACAUCACUAGCGUGUAAACCUGACCCAAUAGAUUGCUUGGCUGAAGAUAUCCAUGGAAACCGUUUUGACCUGAGUCCGCUGGCACGUGGUGCCGGCGACACAAACUGGCAGGUGACAGACACUCAUAGUGACCAUAAAAAUACCUAUCACAUCAAUGUUUGUCGACCAAUCAACACAGCCGGUACCUCCUGCCAAGGUGGACCAAUCGGAGGGUGUGGGGUGUCCAGCAUUGGCGAUAGCUUCAACAUGGGCUACAUACAUUCUCAACCCAUCGCAGCCGAGGACGGGACCGUCACACUUCACUAUCGCAACGGAGACAUCUGUAACAAAAACAAAACCAAUGAAUCCCGAUACAGUACAAGGAUUCUGUUCUCCUGCUCAGGGGUUGAGCGCAACCCAACCUUUAUGGGCAAGACUGACAGCUGUGAGUACUUGUUCAGCUGGCAGACUCCCUUUGCCUGUCCCAUGAAGAAGCCUCAUAUUGGUUCAGACUGUAAGGUGCAGGAUCCACUGGCGACCCACGAGUUUGAUCUGAACCCUUUACGAAAGGCAACAGACUAUAAAGUGCCAACACCAGACAACUAUUUAUACAUCUUAAAUGUGUGCGGCCCCUUACAGUCCACCACCGCAUGUGGGGCAGACCAAGUCGGUAUAUGCCAGACCAAGCCCAGUAAUGCAAGUUACAAGGUCAAUGCAGGAAUGCCUUCCUCGGCUCUGCGCUACCAGACAGGGGUGAUCACUCUGAAAUAUCUCAAUGGAAAAUCACCCUGCCAUGGAAAAUACAAUCGCAGCACCAUCAUUACGUUUCUAUGUGACCACUCUACGAAUGGAUCAGCAGGACCGGUCUUUAUUAAGGAGGAAUCCGACUGUACUUACAUGUUUGAGUGGAAAACCAGUCUUGCUUGCCCUCCGUUUAAAGAAGAAGACUGUAGCAUCACUGCCCCAAACCAUAACCAGUAUGAUCUGAGCACGCUCGCCUUGACCAGUGAUAACUAUGACUACCUUGAUUAUAUUCAUAAUAAAAAGUUCAUCAUCAACGUAUGCCGAUCACUCGUCCACAAGAAAGAUCAGACAUGUCCGUACAAUGCCGCUGUAUGUAUGGUUGACCUGACCCAACAAAACGAUACUCUAAGGUUCCACAACCUGGGCGAGGUAAACAAGCACCAGGUGAUCGUAGAUAACGGACAGCUAGAACUCCAUUACACCAAUGGUGAACAGUGUUCCUCGGGCGGCAGAACCUCAACACGUAUCAUCAUGUACUGCGACAAAACAACCCUGUUUUCCCAUCCGGUUGGCCAUUUUACGGUGAACAAUUGCGAGCAUGAAUUUACCUGGAGUACACAGGCUGCAUGUCCCUUAAACACUGACCAAGACAGCGAGCAGACGGGCAACUGUACCGCCAGGAAUCCAGUCACAGGACAUGUAUUUGACCUCAGUUCCCUAAAUAAAGGGACACCUUAUAAAAUUGACGACCAUCGAGGCCACAUCUUCAAACUCAAUGUGUGUGGCAAAGUUACUGGCUCCGGAUGUGCUGGAGUCUCAGUGGGAGCCUGCCAGGAAGAAGUGGCCGGAGACAAGAGGAACUUCAGUAGUGGGCUAUACAACUCCAAGCUACAGUUUGACAAUGGCGUCCUCGUGCUGAACUAUCAUGGUGGUAAAGACUGCCAUAAUAAAAUGUACAAACGCACAACCAUCAUCAACUUUGUCUGCUCCCAGACAGCCGGUGAGGGUAACCCGGUGUUUAUAGAUGAAUCAGAUGACUGCACUUACUAUUUAUCUUGGCAUACCAGCCUCGCAUGUGAAAAAGAGGUGAAAUGUUCUGUUGAUGCUGGAAACAGAACUAUUGACCUUUCACCUCUGGUCAAGCCAACUGGAGAGUACUCAUCUCUGUCCACUAUGAAUGGGAAAGAUGUCUCGUACUACAUUAACAUCUGCCGACCUCUGAACCCGAUCUACGGAACACUUUGUCCCCCACAGGCCAGUGCUUGUAUGCUACAGCCUGGUGGUAGCCCACAGAGUUUGGGGAAAGUAACUGGUCCUCCAGUGCUGGAGAAAGGAACUGGAAAAGUAACCUUAAUUUAUGAAGGAGGAGAUGUGUGCUCGACAAACCAAGCCAAAAAUAUGUCGACUAAAAUUGUGUUCGUAUGCAACCCAGGAGUGUCCAGAUCUGGCCCGGUACUACAGGAAGUGUCGGACUGCCAGUAUGUGUUUGUAUGGGACACCUCUGUUGUCUGUAGUCAAGACGACACCAAUCUACAGCCAGUGGCCAAUCAGGAUUGUUCUUACAAAGACGCUCAAACUGGCAACACCUACAACCUUACAUACUUCAAAACUUUACAGAAAAGAGAACCAAUGAAAAAAAAUGGUUUCUCAUAUUCAAUCAACGUUUGUGAUAAAGUGGAGACAGCAUUACCUGGAUGUGAGACAGCUGGUGUUUGUCGGACCAAUAAUACGAGAGGGGUCUCCUACGGCAGUGUCGCCCACAGAACUGUGUCAAAGACAGGCAAAGUCAUCCAGCUAACAUACACACAGGGCGAUACUUGUGGUGAGAAUAGAAAGCGGGAGAGUGUGAUCACUUUUGACUGUGAUACAUCUGGCAAAGUCGGCCAACCCAAGUAUACCUAUGCCGGUCAGUGUCAGGCCCUGUUUUACUGGCGGACGUGUGUGGUGUGUCCCAAAGUGGCUGAUGCGUGCUCACUUGGCUACAAUUACAAAAGCUAUGAUCUAAGUAUGUUGUCAAGUGAAACUGGUGGCUGGAAUCUCACUGACGCCAAGGGAAACAGAUACUGGAUCAACAUAUGUCAAUCAGUGAACAAUGGCCCCACAGACUCUGAGGAGUGCCCACACAUGGUGGCAGCCUGGCGACAGACUCCCAGUGGACUGGUGGACAGAUUAGGGCUAAUCAGCACACAGAAACUCACCAUGGACACUGAUGAGAAGACACUGAUUCUACAGUACUUCCAGGGUGACACAGCUUGUUCUAACACAAAGCGACGAAGUGACAACUCUCAUGCCCAAACCUUGAUCAAGUUUGUGUGUGGAAAUACUGUCGGAGGCCCGGUUUUCAUUGAAAGGGACAAUCAAGGUGAAUGUGUGUUCGAGUUCCACUGGAAGUCAAAGGUCGCCUGCAGUCUGAUUAGUCAGACAGUCAAAGACAAAGAUGGCGCUGUGAAAGAUCCAGAAACUGGUGGUGUAAUCAACCUAAAUAAACUUGGGUCGUCUAACGUAAGAGUCAGUGACACAAGUUACUAUGAGCUGAACCCCUCCAGUAUAGUGGGUUCGUGUACAGAUUCUGUUGUUUGUCUACACGACACCACAUCUACAGUACAAAAUAUUGGGGCAUAUUCAAAGAGAAAAUUUUCUUUUGAAGAUGGAAUGUUGGAAGCAGAGUAUGAGUCCGAUAAAAUCUGUGUCCAGGACAGGAAGAAAAAUGUCAAGGCCAUUAUAACAUUCCACUGUAAUGACCAAGAGAAUUCCCCAAUACUGUUGUCACGAUCCAAAGAUUGUGUCCACAUGUUCCUGUGGGAAACUCCGGUUGCCUGUCUCCAUCCUAAAGUAGUGAUUGAUGCGCCCAUAGACAGUUCCAAAGCAAAUGCAGCUGCUGCAGCCGCCAGUAAGGGGAAGACGAUCGGUACAGUGAUGGCGGUGUUUAGUAGCGCCAUCCUCGUGUGUGUGCUCCUCAUUGUAUUCCACAAGAAAGAGCGCAGAGACUCCUGCCUUCUGAAGCUCCGUUCUGUGGUGAAGAAGGAUACAGAGUACAGAUAUUCUAUGUUGCCUGAUGCUAUUGGAAAUGAGGAAUAUGAAGACAUUUUAGGAGCAGCUAACAAUACAGCGGAGCCAGACGAACCCAGGGAGGUGAACACCAAUUCAAUUGAGAGUGAACCAAAAGUGGAGAGUUACCAUGAUGACAGUGAUGUAGACCUUCUGGAGUGAAGUUGGACAUUGCUUGGCUUUCUGUGAUAGAUUAAAGAGAGGCCAGAACUCUCUUUUGUGAUAGGUCGUUCAGAGGUCUGAAUUGUUUGUGGUGAUGAAAUUAGACAGAGGUCUGAACUCUGUGUGGUGAUAAAAUCAUACAGAGGUCUGAACUCUGUGUGGUGAUAAAUCACAUUGAAAUCUGAACUCUGUGUGGUGAUGAAAUUAGACAGAGGUCUGAACUUUGUGUGGUGAUGAAAUCAUACAGAGGUCUGAACUCUGUGUUGUGAUAGCUUCCAAACGCCGAUAAUGUUCCUAUCGAAUGUAAUACAUGUAUCACCAUGCUGUUCACUUCUGCUGGCUAAAAAAAUCAUUCAAGUUAACUUAUUACAAGUAUCAAAUUAAUUUAUAAGCCAGAGUUACCUUGAAUACUGCCUUAAAGACCACCUGUCUAUAAAAUACAGAUCAUUUGCUUAUAAAGGCUACCUGUCUUAAAAGUCCACCUGGCUAUAAAGGUCAACUGUCUAUAAAGUCAAACUUUCUACAUAGAAUUGAUUUUCUCUAGCCAUGAGUGGUCUUUGUAAACCUAUUUCAGCGUUGUUGUAAAUUAAUUUAUUCACAAGAUUAAAAUAAACGACACCUAAUAUCCAAAAACAGUCACAUUUUGGUAAUGAAAACAAAGUUAAAGUUUUCAAAAGCAUUUCUUAUAUUGAGUGACUGAUGUUAGAAACAAUUUGCAAAUGCAAAUGCCUAUUACUGUAUUAUGGACAGGGUUUGAGCGACUGGUCUACUGUUUAUAUCCUCAAACUGACCCAUACCCGAAUGGAAAGAAUGGAGAGAUUUGUAUACCUGGUUUAGCUUAUAGAUGUCAUUUUUUUCUGGCAUUGUGAAUCUGAGAGUAAAAGAUUGGAGGAAAGAAGUGAGAGAUUUAUGAAAAAACGGAUAUAUGCAGCUUUGAUAAUGUAAAUGAGGUAGAAUUUCACCUCUGUUUGACAUAUUUUACCCGUUUUGAAGGGAGCAUGAAACCAGGAUGGAGGUGUUUUGAUAUUCUGUGUAGAACAUGUUUAAUAUUUGGAUAUUUUUUCAUAAAAUAGAAAUUUAACAGAUAAACAUUGAUUAAACAGUAAAAAUGUUACAUUGCUAAAUACUAAUUAUGGUGUGGAAAUAUUGUAAAUUAUUAAAUGAGGGAAAUAUUGAUUACACAGUAAAAAUUCAACAUGAUAAACAAAGGUUAAACAGUGAACAUUUAAACAGUAAACAAGGUUCUGUAUAUUUUACAGCAUAUUACUUAAAAUAAACUUUAUAUUUACAUAUCUGGUAAAUCCAAAUCUAUCUACCAAACAAGGUAUUGCAAACCUACUGAAUGUCCAACUUUCAGAACCUCACGAUGUGUGAUCAUGGUCAUUGGGUGAAAGAUGCUUCUAUCAUUUUCCUAUAUAUAUAUUUAUAUUUGUUUUCAUGUUGAUGAGAUGUUAAGGAAUCAUUUAAAUAUUUACAUGGUGUGUGGUAAUAUCAUUCCGUGCUGUUUGGAUUUUCCUGGUUUUAUAAACUUAAUGCUUAAUCCUUUCAUCCCUAUGUAACUUUUGUGGACUCUACUAUGCAUUGAUCUGGAUGAGUCCAUUAUGGUCUACAGUGGUGAAAGGGUUAAAUAUUGAGUUAGUGUGUCUUGUUGAUAAACAUAUCAUUUUGAAUGUAUGAAACUUAAUU
rnacentral:misc_RNA from 1 species